rnacentral:lncRNA from 1 species
CAGAGAUCAGCCCACAUGCUGGUGCCGUCCCCUCCGCGCAUCAGGACGUGCAUGCAAAGCAUGGAGGGAAAGUAGGAGUGUUUGUACCAUGAGUCUCUGCACACCCCUCAUCUUGGCUAUAGUAGACUGGACCACAGAUGGACACUGUACCAUGCAGAUUACUUCUUCCAGGAACUUGGAUUGAGACCAAGAGACUCAUGGCAUCCUCUUCUGGCUGCAAGACUUAUAUUUUUAUAUUUAGGCAAUAGAAGAGGGGCAGCAGAUGCCUACCUUGUGGAACAGAGGAAGGCAGGCAGUUCACAGAGAAAGAGGACUAGACAGUCGGACAGAGGGGAGCAGGCUUGGGAGCUUCGUGGAGCCAAUGUCCAUCUCUGUCCUUCCUUUCCACUCGAUGCUCCUGAGUCCCUGCCUUCAACCCCCGCUUGUUUGCUUAAACUGGUUUGAGUUUGUUUCUGCUGUUUGAAAAACAACAACAACAAAACCCCAAACAAAACAAACAUCAAACAAAAACCAAAACAAAACCAUUAACUCACUCAUCCCUGUGAUUGUAUUUUGAGAAAUAAAGGUGAUUUCCUUCAGAAAACAAAG